rnacentral:rRNA from 1 species
UACGUAGGGGGCAAGCGUUAUCCGGAUUUACUGGGUGUAAAGGGAGCGUAGGCGGGCUUUUAAGUCAGCGGUAAAAAUUCGGGGCUCAACCCCGUCCGGCCGUUGAAACUGGGGGCCUUGAGUGGGCGAGAAGUAUGCGGAAUGCGUGGUGUAGCGGUGAAAUGCAUAGAUAUCACGCAGAACCCCGAUUGCGAAGGCAGCAUACCGGCGCCCGACUGACGCUGAAGCACGAAAGCGUGGGUAUCGAACAGG